rnacentral:rRNA from 1 species
GACGUAGGUGGCGAACGUUAUCCGGAAUCAUUGGGCGUAAAGGGUGCGUAGAUGGCAUAAUAAGUUAUUAGUGGGAAAUCGAGGCUCAACCUCGUGGAAGCUGGUAAUACUGUUUUGCUCGAGUGCAGGAGAGGUUAACGGAACUCCAUGUGGAGCGGUAAAAUGCGUAGAUAUAUGGAAGAACAUCAAUAACGGCGAAGGCAGUUAACUAUUCUGUUACUGACAUUGAGGCACGAAAGCGUGGGGAGCAAAACGG